AUGACAUUACCAAAUAGAUUAAUGUCAACAGAUGAGAUUUUUUAUUUUGUUAGAGCUGCAGAUUGUUAUCAAAAUGUGUCCAUUGCUUAUCGAAUCCUGUUAACUGUUCCUGUUAUGGUAGCAUCUGCUGAAACAAGUUUUUCAAGACUAAACUUACUAAAGAACUAUUCGAGAUCAACUAUGUCACAAGAGAGAUUGAAUGGCUUGGACAUGUGCUGUAUUGAGAAAGAUAUGUUGGGCAACUUUGCUCUUGACACUAUUAUUAGUGAUUUUUCCUCUAAAAAUGCUCGAAGGUGUCGCUUCUCCUGA
rnacentral:rRNA from 1 species